UGGGGAAUUUUGCGCAAUGGGCGAAAGCCUGACGCAGCAACGCCGCGUGUGUGAUGAAGGUCUUCGGAUUGUAAAGCACUUUCGACCGGGACGAAACUCCUUCGGCCAAUACCCGGAGGUCUGACGGUACCGGGAGAAGAAGCACCGGCUAACUCUGUGCCAGCAGCCGCGGUAAUACAGAGGGUGCAAGCGUUGUUCGGAAUUAUUGGGCGUAAAGCGCGUGUAGGCGGCAAGGCAAGUCGGGUGUGAAAGCCCUCGGCUCAACCGAGGAAGUGCGCCCGAAACUGCCCUGCUCGAGUACCGGAGAGGGUGGCGGAAUUCCCCAAGUAGAGGUGAAAUUCGUAGAUAUGGGGAGGAACACCUGUGGCGAAGGCGGCCACCUGGACGGAUACUGACGCUGAGACGCGAAAGCGUGGGGAGCAAACAGG
rnacentral:rRNA from 1 species